CCUACGGGAGGCAGCAGUGAGGAAUAUUGGUCAAUGGCCGAGAGGCUGAACCAGCCAAGUCGCGUGAGGGAAGACUGCCCUAUGGGUUGUAAACCUCUUUUGUCAGGGAGCAACGCCGGCUACGUGUAGCCGGACUGAGAGUACCUGAAGAAAAAGCAUCGGCUAACUCCGUGCCAGCAGCCGCGGUAAUACGGAGGAUGCGAGCGUUAUCCGGAUUUAUUGGGUUUAAAGGGUGCGUAGGCGGAAUGCCAAGUCAGCGGUAAAAUGGAGAGGCUCAACCUCUUCGAGCCGUUGAAACUGGUUUUCGUGAGUGAGUGAGAAGUAUGCGGAAUGCGUGGUGUAGCGGUGAAAUGCAUAGAUAUCACGCAGAACUCCGAUUGCGAAGGCAGCAUACCGGCGCUCAACUGACGCUCAUGCACGAAAGUGUGGGUAUCGAACAGGAUUAGAUACCCCUGUAGUC
rnacentral:rRNA from 1 species